UACGUAGGGUGCGAGCGUUGUCCGGAAUUAUUGGGCGUAAAGAGCUUGUAGGUGGUUUGUCGCGUCUGCUGUGAAAACCCGAGGCUCAACCUCGGGCCUGCAGUCGAUACGGGCAGACUAGAGUGUUGCAGGGGAGACUGGAAUUCCUGGUGUAGCGGUGAAAUGCGCAGAUAUCAGGAGGAACACCGGUGGCGAAGGCGGGUCUCUGGGCAACAACUGACGCUGAGGAGCGAAAGCGUGGGGAGCGAACAGG
rnacentral:rRNA from 1 species